rnacentral:rRNA from 1 species
GGCUUUGAAGCGUGGACGCCAGUCUGCGUGGAGCCAACCUUGAAAUACCACCCUUUAAUGUUUGAUGUUCUAACGUUGGCCCCUGACCGGGGUUGCGGACAGUGUCUGGGGGGUAGUUUGACUGGGGCGGUCUCCUCCCAAAGCGUAACGGAGGAGCACGAAGGGUAGCUAAUCCUGGUCGGACAUCAGGAGGUUAGUGCAAUGGCAUAAGCUAGCUUGACUGCGAGCGUGACGGCGCGAGCAGGUGCGAAAGCAGGUCAUAGUGAUCCGGUGGUUCUGAAUGGAAGGGCCAUCGCUCAACGGAUAAAAGGUACUCCGGGGAUAACAGGCUGAUACCGCCCAAGAGUUCAUAUCGACGGCGGUGUUUGGCACCUCGAUGUCGGCUCAUCACAUCCUGGGGCUGAAGUAGGUCCCAAGGGUAUGGCUGUUCGCCAUUUAAAGUGGUACGCGAGCUGGGUUUAGAACGUCGUGAGACAGUUCGGUCCCUAUCUGCCGUGGGCGCUGGAGAAUUGAGGGGGGCUGC